rnacentral:lncRNA from 1 species
AAUAAGAUGCAGCGAAGUCCAGAAUCUGUGAAAUCAUUUUGGCCCAAAUGAGUCUUUUGUGUCCUUUGUUCAUGGAGAUUGGGUGAAGCAAGGUGCACCUGUUUCAAUAGUAAAGCAGCCCCACUGAGGAAAGGACUUUUUGAGUUGUGUCAUUAGAAGUCAUCAUUGCAUAUGUGAGAGAAGAGAGGAAGGAAAGGGCAGGAUGCAGUCACAUAACAGGAUCAUGGAAUUCUAAAAUUGGAAGAAAUAUGUUUCUAGUCAUCUAGUAUAGCUUCCAAUCCAUAGGAUGAAUCCUCAUGGCUAAUGAAAGCCUGGAAGAACAUUAGAACCACCAUGAGGAGGCUGCUGGGAUGCAAUGGUGUGGCGUGAUCUCGGCUCACUGCAACUAAUUUGGAGCAUCUUUCUAAGACUUUGCAUGUAAAUGUGACUGGAUGGCCAUCUGUCAGGAAAAGACUAGAAGAAUUGAAUUGGAAAAGCGAAAAAAAUAAAAGUGG